rnacentral:miRNA from 1 species
AAGUAAUAGGCUGGUACAAAACCAAUUGUGAUUUUUGCCACUAAAAAUAAUGGCAAAAACCACAAUUGCUUUUGCACUAACCUAAUAGUU